ACCAGCCAUCACCAGCCAACCAGUCAACCAAGAACAGGCAAAUGAUGAUGUUGUCAUUGGAGGAACCCUCAGGGUCAAAAAAAUUAAAUUGCAAAGAUGCAACCAACAACUCCCGACCAAGCUGGUGUGCGACCUGCUAUGAGUUGUAUUUUCAAAAAGAGAGAUGGCCACCUCGUCCCUGACUGGACAAAAGGGCAGUGCCAAAGACGAAAUAAAACCACCACUGGAGGCCACCGCGGUCAAAGCUAUUUUUGAAUACACUCUGCAGAAAUUUCCCAAUGUGGAACUAUCCAUCCUGAGGGGAGCCGUCAGGAAUAAGUUAAACAAUGUCAGCAAGCUGUUCAAGAAAACACAGGCUGAAGCUGGAUCCGAUGGACCCUGAUCCCUCAGACAUUGAUUUAUUAGUG